UCCGGGUUUGGGAGGAACUAGAAGUUAAAGAGCAACUGAAUCUGUGCAGCAUUUUACUGACUAUUUCAUAGCUGUAUCUGACUCCUCUGAAUGGGUGUUUUAGGACCAGGCUGAGGGAGACCAUGAGAAGAACCAUCUGAGGGACCAGCUGGGGAAGCUCAGGGAGCAGAAUGAGAAGAUGGAGACACUGAUAAACAUCCUGGAGGAAGAGAAGAGGAGACUGGGGACAAACUAGAGAAAAUGACUGAUGCUGGAGCCUGGAAUAGGAGAGGGACUAUUACCGACAGGAAGCUGAGCGCUACCACAGGGCCAGGAGACCAGGGGACAUGGACCUCGGCCCCACCUGCAGCAGCCAAGGCAGGAGCCCCAGGGGGAGAGCAGGCUGGCAUGGCUCGGUGGGAGAGCCAGCCAGUCCACAAAUGCAAAGAAUACAUAGUUAUGUUCUCAUUUACUGUGUAUACAUACAUAAACGUACUGUAUAAGUCUUAUGUUCAUUAUAUUCGUUAGCAUGUGCCCCUGUGACAACAAUUUUAGACCCCCUUGUGGCCCCCCUAAAUGUGGAGUAUGAAAUAAUUUUCACAUAACUAACUUUUGCUCUUGUUCUUUUUUUACAUCCGUUAUUAGACAGAAAAUGCUAAUAAAUAGUUGAAUGAUUAUGAA